ensembl:miRNA
GCUGCCAAAUGGAUCGGGUUUGAAAGGAGAGCUCUGCUUCCUCAUACAUACUCAUCUUUUCUAUGGAUAAGUAUGAGGAAAUGGAGAUCUCCUUCCAUUCCACCUGUUUU